rnacentral:rRNA from 1 species
UCCGGAGGGUGCGAGCGUUGUUCGGAAUCAUUGGGCGUAAAGCGCGUGUAGGCGGCUUGGCAAGUCGGUUGUGAAAUCCCGGGGCCCAACCCCGGAACUGCAAUCGAAACUGCCUCGCUAGAGUCCCGGAGAGGAAGGCGGAAUUCCCGGUGUAGAGGUGAAGUUCGUAGAUAUCGGGAGGAACACCAGUGGCGAAGGCGGCCUUCUGGACGGUGACUGCCGCUCAGCCGCGAAAGCGUGGGGAGCAAACAGG